GCCUACGGGGCGCAGCAGUGGGGAAUAUUGCACAAUGGGGGAAACCCUGAUGCAGCGACGCCGCGUGAGUGAAGAAGUAUUUCGGUAUGUAAAGCUCUAUCAGCAGGGAAGAAAAUGACGGUACCUGACUAAGAAGCCCCGGCUAACUACGUGCCAGCAGCCGCGGUAAUACGUAGGGGGCAAGCGUUAUCCGGAUUUACUGGGUGUAAAGGGAGCGUAGACGGCCAGACAAGUCAGAAGUGAAAACCCGCGGCUCAACUGCGGGCGUGCUUUUG
rnacentral:rRNA from 1 species